rnacentral:tRNA from 1 species
UCCCAGGUAGCUCAGUGGGUAAAGAACCUGCCUGCAAUGCUGGAGACACAAGAGUUGCAGGUUCAAUCCCUGUGUUGGGAA